CUGAAAUCAAAUCAAACAAUAUCUCCUCAUCUGC
rnacentral:sRNA from 1 species